UACAGAGGUCUCGAGCGUUAGGCGGAAUCACUGGGCUUAAAGCGUGUGUAGGCGGACUGGUAAGUACCUUGUGAAAUCCCACGGCUCAACCGUGGAACUGCUUGGUAUACUGCUUGUCUUGUGCAACCUAGGGGCGAGCGGAACAGAUGGUGGAGCGGUGAAAUGCGUAGAUAUCAUCUGGAACGCCAAAGGUGAAAACAGCUCGCUGGGGUUGUGCUGACGCUGAGACACGAAAGCCAGGGGAGCGAACGGG
rnacentral:rRNA from 1 species